GACAGAGGGUGCAAACGUUGUUCGGAAUCACUGAGCGUAAAGCGCGUGUAAGUAACUUGGCAAGUCGAGCGUGAAAUCCCGGGACUCAACCCCGGAAGUGCACUCGAUACUGCCUCGCUAGAGUCCUGAAGAGGAAGGUGGAAUACUUGGUGUAGAGGUGAAAUUCGUAGAUAUCAAGUAGAACACCAGUGGCGAAGGCGGCCUUCUGGACAGUGACUGACGCUAAGACGCGAAAGCGUGGGGAGCAAACAGG
rnacentral:rRNA from 1 species